CACGCGGGAGAGACCUGCGAUGCCCGUCCACGUCGGACACAGCAGGCGCCGAAGGAGCAAGAUUCUCCCCUUACGAAUCUCUCAGGCCCGGUGAACAUCAUCGGAAGGACCGCG
rnacentral:ncRNA from 1 species